GAUGAACGCUGGCGGCGUGCCUAAUACAUGCAAGUCGAACGGGGAGUAGCAAUACUUUUAGUGGCGAACGGGUGAGUAACGCGUUGUUACCCGCCCCGAAGCGGGGGAUAACGGACCGAAAGGUUCGCUAAUACCCCACUUGUUCGGGAACGGGUAUAGGGCAAAACCAUUUUGGGGGGGGCCUUCCUCCCAUGAGGUAGUUGGUAAGGUCACGGCUUACCAAGGCGGUGACAGGGGGGGGACGUGAGAGGGGCGCCCCCCACAAUGGAACUGAAACACGGCCCCUACACCAAGGGGUGGCGGCGGUAGGGAAUAUUGGUAAUGGGCGCAAGCCUGACCCAGCAACGCCGCGUGUGAGAUGACGGCCUUCGGGUUGUAAAGCCCUUUUGACUGGGACGAGAAAGAACGGUACCGGUAGAGUCGGCCUCGGCUAAUUACGU
rnacentral:rRNA from 1 species